CAUUUAUGUCGACACCGGUUUCGUAUUUCACGUGAAAUCGGCCGAAAACUGAGAGGUUAUCAACAAAUUAUAAGUUUACGGGUACCAUGAGGAUUUUUCAUGCAUUUAAACGACAGAAGUACAAGCGAACAGAUGACACAUUAAAGUGGCUGCAGAAGCUUGAAAAGUUAGAUAGAGCAGGGACAGUCAAAACUGUGGGAUAAUACUUCUAUGGUGUCCAACAUGUUUAGUCAGGUUGACAGAAGUGAAAGAUGGUCUGACAAUGAUGUACAAAUGAUACUCUUUAACAAGUUUAACAUGUCAUAGAUAUAUACCUGUGAAAUCUUCAGUGUCACUGUUCAGCUAUUGUUCAAGAUCAGUGUCUGUAGCUUGCACAGCUUAGUAUAGAGGAGCCUUCUGAAUCAAUUUUGUUACAUAUUUGCUGUUAUUGUAGGAUGCACAUGCAGAGAGCAAUAAGUCCUGUCCAACUGUGCAUGUAAAUGUGAUUCAGAAACUUUGAGAAUAUGUAAACAUUACACUGUUACAAUUUUCAAAAUACUGUGUCUUGUAGUGUAUCAGUUCUGUUUUGUCUCAGUUUAUAGCACAGUAUGUUCAUAAAUCAAACUUAAGAUCAUAGUUAUCAGUAUUACUAAAAUCAUUAAUUAUUUGUAUGGUGACAAAAUUUAAUUUCAUGCAAUACCACAGGAAACGUUUGAUAAUUUUUUUUUUAAGUUGUAAGUUUAAAGUUGGCAUAAAUUGUUUUUCUCCUUCAUAAAUCUAAAAAGUGACUGGUCAUUAUAUUUGCAAUAUCAUUUUAGUGUGACAAAGAUUAUAUUGAACUGAAACACUAAUGUAAAUUUUUGAACUAUUCAAUGCAUUUUCUUAAGUCUUAAAACAUUUGUUUAUCGUACAUGUCAGGGCCAAUAACUCCUCCAUAUUACUUGUGUUUUGUCCUUUUUCGUUUCACUGAAGGAUAGGUAGAGGUAUUGCACAUCCAUUUUUUAGCAUCCUGAUUUUAUAAAGUGUUGUAUGUAAGGUUUUAUCUCGGAAUUAUGUCUCGUCUAAAGGUGGGGAGAGGUAUUGUUUAUGCCUUCUCGUCUGUCUGCAUUAAGCCUGUCUGACUUUAUGGGAAAAGUUGAUGGCCAGAUUUUGAUAAAACUUCACAGGAAUGAUCAGUACCAAGCAUAGUGUUGUGCAUAUCGAUUGCAUGUUUCGUUUCGAUGCACUAAAUUGCAGCCAGAGCUAAAAGUAGAAAAAUCUUGUCAGCUUUCACAGGUCAAAACUACUUAACAGAUUUUGAUGAAACUUCACAGGAGUGAUCAGUACCAAGUAUAUUUUUGCAUAUCACCGACACUUUCCAUUUUGCUAAUUUGCUGCACAAAAUAGCCGCCAUAGCAUAAAGGUAUACAUUGGUGGGAAACAUGUUUUGUCAUAAAAAUACCUAAAACACCUUCCACUUUGUUAAAGAAAAUUGUAUUAAACUUCUUACAAUUGCAAACUGUAAUAAUUUGACAUUAAAUGCACUAGUUACAUAAUUGCAUUUGGCUUUUUUUUCGUAAUUAUUGCCCUUUUCUUACCAUAGCAAUAUUUUGUGUAACAUGUUACCUCAUUAAGCAUCAUAAGAUCAGAAAGUUCUGACUCAGAAAUGUUGGCCCUUUUGUACUUGUCAUGAGUAUGUUUUCAGUAUUUUAUAUUGUCAUUACUUUUUGUUGUGCGAGUUUACGAAAUGAAGACUUAGUUGUCCAAAUGGUGUGCCUGUGCCUGUCCUGAUUUGUUUGUCUGGACAAUAUAUUAUUGAUUAGUCUUCACGAAACUUCCCUGUCAACUUUGAUAGUGGCAUGGUUACUUUAAAAGUGAUGUCACCACUGUACUAGUCAAACGUUUGGUAUUUCAGAUUUUAUAUCACAUUACAGGCUACUGGUCUUUAGCAGCCUUCAUAAAACUUAUAAAAAACUCAUAAAAGUUUCCAAAAAUGUUGUAUUUUGAUUUGAGCUGGCAUUAUUCAAACAUUAAGAAGUAGUACUAUAAGGCAACAUUUGACCUCUUUUCCAGUACUUUUUGAUUUUCUCUGUUACUAUGAAGUUGCCUUUUCCUAGAAAUUGGUUGGCUUAUUUUUUAUGAUCUUAUGUUUUUAAUGAAUUGUAGCUAUAUGUUCUUUUUCUCAUGAAAAUGUCCAUUUUUAUAUAAUUCAUAUUUGUUACUGUCAACAAAGUGCAAUACCACAUACUUAUCACUUCCAUUAACAUACUUGUACUAUUUUCAUAAAACAUUAUAUAAAUCAUUAUAUUUCAUAUAAACGGAAUUAAAUAAAUAUUUAAGAACAUCAGUGUUUUUUUUUAUUGCUACAUGAAACAGACCAUAGGUCAAUUUAGGGUCAAUUCUGACACUUUAUAUGCAAAUUGAUAAGGGAGAUAACUAGUACUGUCUUAAGUAACCAAUAUUUAGUUACACAGUUACCUUCCCUUUACACAGGUAGGACUAUUUGUUGUUGAUCAUCUUUUGAACAUAAUUCCAUUACUGAUGACAGAACAUUGAAAAUAAAAGUUGUUGUAUCAUGCAAUGGCAUCAUAUAUGACAAUAUUUACUUUUUUAUUUCAUUUUUUAAAUAUUCUUUAAAUUAGGUACAAUGCCUAUGCAAUGGGA